UACGUAGGGUCCGAGCGUUGUCCGGAAUUACUGGGCGUAAAGAGCUCGUAGGUGGUUUGUCGCGUUGUUCGUGAAAACUCACAGCUCAACUGUGGGCGUGCGGGCGGAUACGGGCAGACUUGAGUACUGCAGGGGAGACUGGGAAUUCCUGGUGUAGCGGUGGAAUGCGCAGACUAUCAGGAGGAACACCGGUGGCGAAGGCGGGUCUCUGGGCCGAUAACUGAC
rnacentral:rRNA from 1 species